rnacentral:misc_RNA from 1 species
GAUGAAGAACGUAGUGAAAUGCGAUAAGUAAUGUGAAUUGCAGAAUUCAGUGAAUCAUCGAAUCUUUGAACGCACAUUGCGCCCCUUGGUAUUCCGAGGGACAUGCCUGUUCGAGCGUCAUUAUAACCCCUCAAGCUCAGCUUGGUGUUGGGGCCUGCUGCACUGGCAGCCCUUAAAAUCAGUGGCGGCGCCAUCUGGCUCUAAGCGUAGUAAUUCUUCUCGCUAUGGAGUCCUGGUGGAUGCUUGCCAUCAACCCCCAAUUUUUCUAUGGUUGACCUCGGAUCAGGUAGGGAUACCCGCUGAACUUAAGCAUAUCAAUAAGCGGAGGA